rnacentral:rRNA from 1 species
UACAGAGGGCUCAAGCGUUGUUCGGAUUCAUUGGGCGUAAAGGGGGUGUCGGUGGCGCCGUAAGUCGGGGGUGAAAUUUCGGAGCUUAACUCCGAAACUGCAUUCGAUACUGCGGUGCUUGAGGACUGGAGAGGAGACUGGAAUUUACGGUGUAGCGGUGAAAUGCGUAGAUAUCGUAAGGAAGACCAGUGGCGAAGGCGGGUCUCUGGACAGUUCCUGACGCUGAUGCGCGAAAGCGUGGGGAGCAAACGGG